AUUGCACGCUGGCGGCAUGCCUAACACAUGCAAGUCGAGCUGAGCGGCGGACGGGUGAGUAAUGCCUAGGAAUCUGCCUGGUAGUGGUGGAUAACGUCCGGAAACGGGCGCUAAUACCGCAUACUAUCAGCUGAGCCUAGGUCGGGUUAGCUAGUUGGUGGGGUAAAGGCCUACCAAGGCGACGAUCCGUAACUGGUCUGAGAGUAUGAUCAGUCACACUGAAACUGGGACACGGUCCAAGAUCCUAGGUGAGGGCGGGGUGGGGAAUAUUGGGCAAAGGGAGAAAGGCUGAUACAGCCAGGCCGAGUGUGUGAAGAAGGUCUUCGGGUUGUAAAGUACUUUUGGCAGAGAAGCGGUGUCUGCAGAAUAAGCACCGGCUAACUACGUGCCAGCAGCCGCGGUAAUAC
rnacentral:rRNA from 1 species